AUACGGAGGGUCCAAGCGUUAUCCGGAAUCAUUGGGUUUAAAGGGUCCGUAGGCGGGCAAUUAAGUCAGAGGUGAAAGCCCAUCGCUCAACGAUGGAACUGCCUUUGAUACUGGUUGACUUGAGUUAUACGGAAGUAGAUAGAAUAAGUAGUGUAGCGGUGAAAUGCAUAGAUAUUACUUAGAAUACCGAUUGCGAAGGCAGUCUACUACGUAUAUACUGACGCUGAGGGACGAAAGCGUGGGGAGCGAACAGGAUUAGAAACCCUUGUAGUCC
rnacentral:rRNA from 1 species